rnacentral:rRNA from 1 species
AUACGGAGGGUCCGAGCGUUAAUCGGAAUUACUGGGCGUAAAGCGCGCGUAGGCGGCUAUAUAAGUCAGAUGUGAAAUCCCUGGGCUCAACCUAGGAACUGCAUUUGAAACUGUAUGGCUAGAGUAUGGUAGAGGUGAGUGGAAUUUCAGGUGUAGCGGUGAAAUGCGUAGAGAUCUGAAGGAACAUCAGUGGCGAAGGCGACUCACUGGGCCAUUACUGACGCUGAGGUGCGAAAGCGUGGGUAGCAAACAGGAUUAGAAACCCUUGUAGUCC